UCACAGUGUACUUAAGCACUGCACUGAGCCUCACACAGUGUGAAGUAUUGUUUUUGCCACUAUGCCUGUGUGGCAGGAUGAGGCAAUUGCGCUCCCAGGUGUAGCCACUCCCAUCCUGGUUCUGCUAAUGAGCACCAGGCCACCUAUAAAGUGGGACUGUGCAGGCUUUCGCUCAUUGCUGGCUGAUUCGGCCUCCCUGGGUUCCUGCACCUGUCAGUGCAGUGCCAUGAUAUCACCACUCCAUGUCGCACAGCGAGGCGACUUGUGACUGGAGUAAAGGUGAAAUGGGAACCGAGCGCAUCGCUCCAUGUUCCUCCCAGUGAUGUCCUGCCAUGACUGGAUGUUUGGAACCCGCUGCUGCUUGGGAGUUUCUGUAUUGGGAGUGUUCAGAGUUUUCACGGGUCCCUUUCAUCUGCUCCUCUGGUCGGACGGGUCAGCCGCUGACGGCGGCAUCUCCUCUCCCACCUCCCUUGUGGCCGACCACGUGACUGCACAGGUGCUCUUGGGACUUAGGACUGUUGGAACUCAUGACCAGCUACCCCUACCUGCAAUAGUAACCACACAAGUGGGAGUUCACUUGUGUUUUACUUAUUUUUUUGCUUUGAUUUUUUUUU